UCCUUCAUUAGCAUUUAUCUGUAUUACAUCGAGGAAUUCAUGUCUCGCAGAACAUCUCGCCAGCGACACUGGUAUCAAUUAUUACGAGAGAAAUCUCACCAAAAAGAA
rnacentral:sRNA from 1 species